GACGAACGCUGGCGGCGUGCCUAAUACAUGCAAGUAGAACGCUGAAGAGAGGAGCUUGCUCUUCUUGGAUGAGUUGCGAACGGGUGAGUAACGCGUAGGUAACCUGCCUGGUAGCGGGGGAUAACUAUUGGAAACGAUAGCUAAUACCGCAUGACAUUGAUUAUCGCAUGAUAAUUAAUUGAAAGAUGCAAUUGCAUCACUACCAGAUGGACCUGCGUUGUAUUAGCUAGUUGGUGAGGUAACGGCUCACCAAGGCGACGAUACAUAGCCGACCUGAGAGGGUGAUCGGCCACACUGGGACUGAGACACGGCCCAGACUCCUACGGGAGGCAGCAGUAGGGAAUCUUCGGCAAUGGGGGGAACCCUGACCGAGCAACGCCGCGUGAGUGAAGAAGGUUUUCGGAUCGUAAAGCUCUGUUGUAAGAGAAGAACGGGUGUGAGAGUGGAAAGUUCACACUGGACG
rnacentral:rRNA from 1 species